CUAAAAAUGUGUGCAAGUUGCUUAUAGAAGCAAUAAUAAAACCAUAUUGUAAACCUACAUAAAGGAGAGAUAUACCAUGUUCAUGGUAUAAAAAAAAUAGAUGUCAAUUUUUCCAAAAUUAUUCAUAGUGCAAUUCCUUGCCAGAUUACUGGCAGGUUUUUUUCCCCUGGACCUUGACAAGAGGAUUGUAAAAUUUAUAUGAAGGCGUAAAGUGCCAAGAAUGAUCAAAGCAAUUUUGAUAAAACAUAAAAAAGGAACAGAGGAAUAAAUGGUGAUGGAACUUCCCACAGAGGAGGGAAAUAGGGUUGAACUUCUUAUCCUAUACACAAAGUUAAAUUCCAGGUAAAUUAAAAACAAAAUGUAAAAUGCAAAACUUUUAGAAAACUUUAAAAUUAGAAAAAAUGUAAAAACCAAUCCAACAAGUUAUUUUUACACAUCCAAAUUUUCCAGUCAUCCCAGCACAGUUGUCAAAUAUCAAAUGAGUGGCAAAGUACUAGAAUGAUGAAAGAAGUGGUAUAAUUAUACCACUCAUAGGACUACUUACAAAGCAGCUGCCUUCCUAGACAUGCUUUUAUUCUAACUCUUUAAAUGAAUAGGAUUGUAUUAUAUUGUUUACAUGUCAAAAUUUGCAUGUCAAUGAUGCAUAUAUGGUUAUGUUCGGA
rnacentral:lncRNA from 10 species